rnacentral:rRNA from 1 species
CAGCCGCCGCGGGAAAACGUAGGUGGCAAGCGUUGUCCGGAAUUAUUGGGCGUAAAGGGCUCGCAGGCGGUUUCUUAAGUCUGAUGUGAAAGCCCCCGGCUCAACCGGGGAGGGUCAUUGGAAACUGGGAAACUUGAGUGCAGAAGAGGAGAGUGGAAUUCCACGUGUAGCGGUGAAAUGCGUAGAGAUGUGGAGGAACACCAGUGGCGAAGGCGACUCUCUGGUCUGUAACCGACGCUGAGGAGCGAAAGCGUGGGGAGCGAACAGGAUUAGAUACCCGAGUAGUCCCUGUCUCUUAUAC